rnacentral:rRNA from 1 species
GACGAACGCUGGCGGCGUGCUUAACACAUGCAAGUCGAACGGAAAGGCCCUGCUGUUGUGGUGUGCUCGAGUGGCGAACGGGUGAGUAACACGUGAGUAACCUGCCCUUGACUUUGGGAUAACUUCAGGAAACUGGGGCUAAUACCGGAUAGGAGCUCCUGCUGCAUGGUGGGGGUUGGAAAGUUUCGGCGGUUGGGGAUGGACUCGCGGCUUAUCAGCUUGUUGGUGGGGUAGUGGCUUACCAAGGCUUUGACGGGUAGCCGGCCUGAGAGGGUGACCGGCCACAUUGGGACUGAGAUACGGCACAGACUACUACGGGAGGCAGCAGUGGGGAAUAUUGCACAAUGGGCGGAAGCCUGAUGCAGCAACGCCGCGUGCGGGAUGACGGCCUUCGGGUUGUAAACCGCUUUCGCCUGUGACGAAGCGUGAGUGACGGUAAUGGGUAAAGAAGCACCGGCUAACUACGUG